AUUGAACGCUGGCGGCAUGCCUUACACAUGCAAGUCGAACGGUAACAGGCCUUCGGAUGCUGACGAGUGGCGAACGGGCGAGUAAUACAUCGGAACGUGCCCGAUCGUGGGGGAUAACGAAGCGAAAGCUUUGCUAAUACCGCAUACGAUCUACGGAUGAAAUCAGGGGACCGCAAGGCCUUGCGCGAACGGAGCGGCCGAUGGCAGAGUAGGUAGUUGGUGGGAUAAAAGCUUACCAAGCCGACGAUCUGUAGCUGGUCUGAGAGGACGACCAGCCACACUGGGACUGAGACACGGCCCAGACUCCUACGGGAGGCAGCAGUGGGGAAUUUUGGACAAUGGGCGAAAGCCUGAUCCAGUCAUGCCGCGUGCAGGAUGAAGGCCUUCGGGUUGUAAACUGCUUUUGUACGGAACGAAAAGACUCUGGUUAAUACCUGGGGUCCAUGACGGUACCGGAAGAAUAAGCACCGGCUAACUACGUG
rnacentral:rRNA from 1 species